AGAGUUUGAUCCUGGCUCAGGACGAACGCUGGCGGCGUGCUUAACACAUGCAAGUCGAGCGGUAAGGCCUUUCGGGGUACACGAGCGGCGAACGGGUGAGUAACACGUGGGUGAUCUGCCCUGCACUUCGGGAUAAGCCUGGGAAACUGGGUCUAAUACCGGAUAUGACCUCCUAUCGCAUGGUGGGUGGUGGAAAGAUUUAUCGGUGCAGGAUGGGCCCGCGGCCUAUCAGCUUGUUGGUGGGGUAAUGGCCUACCAAGGCGACGACGGGUAGCCGACCUGAGAGGGUGACCGGCCACACUGGGACUGAGACACGGCCCAGACUCCUACGGGAGGCAGCAGUGGGGAAUAUUGCACAAUGGGCGAAAGCCUGAUGCAGCGACGCCGCGUGAGGGAUGACGGCCUUCGGGUUGUAAACCUCUUUCAGCAGGGACGAAGCGCAAGUGACGGUACCUGCAGAAGAAGCACCGGCUAACUACGUGCUAGCAGCCGCGGUAAUACGUAGGGUGCAAGCGUUGUCCGGAAUUACUGGGCGUAAAGAGUUCGUAGGCGGUUUGUCGCGUCGUUUGUGAAAACCAGCAGCUCAACUGCUGGCUUGCAGGCGAUACGGGCAGACUUGAGUACUGCAGGGGAGACUGGAAUUCCUGGUGUAGCGGUGAAAUGCGCAGAUAUCAGGAGGAACACCGGUGGCGAAGGCGGGUCUCUGGGCAGUAACUGACGCUGAGGAACGAAAGCGUGGGUAGCGAACAGGAUUAGAUACCCUGGUAGUCCACGCCGUAAACGGUGGGCGCUAGGUGUGGGUUCCUUCCACGGAAUCUGUGCCGUAGCUAACGCA
rnacentral:rRNA from 1 species